GUAUGAUCGCGUUCGAGUUCUCCAGCUUUACUUCCCGUCUCUACAACUCCAGCAGCUUGGUAUUCAGUGCUUCUCCUUGCGUCGAGCUACUCCCCAGUGUGAUCCGCUUGGAGAACGCCUGUCUGCCCUCUGGAGUCCUGCACCGUUCCUCUUCGAUUCCGGUUACAGUGUGCUGUACGACGUUCCAGCCCUCCUCGUUGUGCGUGCGUGCAGUACACACAGAGUCGUUCCUGUGUUCUUC